UAACAUACACAUCAGUCUGCCAGAAAUUCAGAAGAAGAGGAAGAAGAAACACCUCCUGUCCUCUCUACCCCCGUAGAAGAAGAACGCCCCCCUCCCCCGCAGUUGUUGGAAUUUUGAAUUUUCUCACAACAGUCGUUGGAAAUAACCGUCGCUUCGCGCUCUAUCCGUUUUGGCCUGUGCUUCUUCGGUGAAACUUCGUCGUGUAUUCAAGGUUAUUUUGAAUGGACAGCUUUGUCGCUGAUAAGCUAACUGACUGGCGGCUGUCUGAGCUGACAGAGAAUUUUAGAGGCCAUCCACAAACAUAAAAGAGGCCCUGGCGCUAUCAUUGGUUCAGACAUUCCCUGAAUGAUGGAUCAGAAAUUGGCUAUUUCCAGAGACUCCAGAAUGAAAACCAAGCUCUGAGGGAGGAGAACCACACCCUGAGGGAAAGCAAUGCACGAGCAGCCUCGGAUGACAGCGGCUCACUUCAAGAGCAGGUGAAGCAAGUUGGGACAAUGUUGAAGACGUUUGCUUGCACUUGGCAAUUAGGUGCAGAUCAGACCCUAAUGCUGCGACGUCUUGGAGAGUUUGGCGAUGUUGUGCGUAGCAUGGACAACAAAAUGGAAACUAUGCAGCAACAUUUCAGUGCCAAUGUGUCUGUUGGAGAGCCACUGAUGAGGCGGUCCAGGUUAACGUUGCGCGUUACCUGAAAGCAUCUGACCGUGAAGGCGGAAAAAGGCGCCGCACAGCUGAGAGGGACCCACAGCCGACCCCUUAAACCUAGGCUGACUACUGACACCCCCGCAUCACUGACAACUGGAACACUUUCUUUAUCCUGCAGUCAGUAACAUCAAGAAGCCAGAAGUGCCAGACUACACUCACCCAAUCCACACUAUUCUCUGUGGAAAUUAUUUUUUCUUCUUCUUUUUUUUUUAUUCCCCAUGACCCUGCCUUGAGGGCAGCGCCUUGGAUGGAUAUGGGAUGGUGAGGUUGUUUGUCCUU